AGUGAACGCUGGCGGUAGGCCUAACACAUGCAAGUCGAACGGCAGCACAUUAAGAGCUUGCUCUUACGGGUGGCGAGUGGCGGACGGGUGAGGAAUACAUCGGAAUCUACUUUUUCGUGGGGGAUAACGGAGGGAAACUUACGCUAAUACCGCAUACGACCUACGGGUGAAAGCAGGGGAUCUUCGGACCUUGCGCGAAUGAAUGAGCCGAUGUCGGAUUAGCAAGUUGGCGGGGUAAAGGCACACCAAGGCGACGAACCGUAGAUGGUCUGAGAGGGUGAAUCAGCACACUGGAACUGAGACACGGUCCAGACUCUGGAGGGAGGCAGCAGUGGAGAAUAUUGGACAAUGGGGGCAAGCCUGAUCCAGCCAUACCGCGUGAGUGAAGAAGGCCUUCGGGUUGUAAAGCCAAUUUGUUGGGAAAGAAAAGCAGCAGGUUAAUACCCCGCUGUUCUGACGGUACCCUAAGAAUAAGCACCGGCUAACUUCGUG
rnacentral:rRNA from 1 species